AGAUCUUGGUGGUAGUAGCAAAUACUCAAAUGAGAACUUUGAGGACUGAAGUGGGGAAAGGUUCCGUGUGAACAGCAGUUGGACACGGGUUAGUCGAUCCUAAGCCAUAGGGAAACUCCGUUUUAAAGUGCGCUCUCGGGCGCCGCCUGGCGAAAGGGAAACCGGUUAAUAUUCCGGUACCUCGAUGUGGAUUAUCCGCGGCAACGCAACUGAAGGUGGAGACGUCGGCGGGGGCCCCGGGAAGAGUUCUCUUUUCUUCUUAACUGUCUAUCACCCUGAAAUCGGUUUGUCCGGAGCUAGGGUUUAAUGGCAGGUAGAGCGGCACACCUUUGUGCCGUCCGGUGCGCUCUCGACGACCCUUGAAAAUCCGCCGGAAGGAAUGAUUUUCACGCGAGGUCGUACUCAUAACCGCAGCAGGUCUCCAAGGUGAACAGCCUCUAGUUGAUAGAACAAUGUAGAUAAGGGAAGUCGGCAA
rnacentral:rRNA from 1 species